rnacentral:lncRNA from 1 species
GAAACAUCAAGAAACUAUCUGGACAGUUCAACCCUCAGACAUUAACUAAACAAUCCUCACAUAACAGCCACAGUGACCAAACAACAGGAAUGCCACACUUCCCAAACAACAGGAGUGCGCUCGACACCCGCAAGAUGCUCCAGGACCGCAGGAGACUGGCCCUAGCCCCCAUCCAUGUGACGGUCACACCGUUCCUCGCCACAGCCUUCCUACCCGAGUCCUAACACAAUAGGUAUCCGCAGCGUGUGAGAAGUCGCGGAAGAAGUGGCCUGAGAAUGAGGAGUUGCGGUCGCGACGGUCUUCAGUGGUGUCCCUGUCGCGGCGGUGCCUGUGAUCGUCAUCAGCUCGGACGCGGCGGUCAAAGAGGAUGAUCCUCGAGGCAUUGGCAUCAUGGAGUGCUCGCCUACGCAGUCCCGCGGUGCCACUAUGGUUGCCGGACGCGGCAUCUGGCGUAUCCAUGUAGGCACAGCGGGUCGAUAACUUGAUGACCGCCAUCGUGCACCAUGAGGUGGAGGGACUGAAGGUGCGGACCAGGAACAGGAGCAAGAUAUUCACGGUAAUGCAAGAGCUGCUCGUCCCAUCUUUGAAGAUUGCAGCCCCAUGUCAGAAUUUGAGUCAGUCGGGUCAGACAGUGACACUAGUGCUGCUCAGGUGCUGGACCGAGA